AUUGUGAAGUUGGCUCAAAAGCGGGAGAUGAAGGGAAGUAAAGGAGGGUGGAAAGAUUUUUUGAGAUCAUACGACAAGAAGCUUGGGGUUAGCUUGAGUGACCCAUCCAAGAGGUCCAUUGAUGUGCUGCUGGCAUUUUUAAAGACGUUUAGUGAAGAUGACUUAAAGUUUUUUGAUAAGGUGUUUCAAUGUCAUUCAAACCGUGACGCUGUUGAGAAGCUCCAGAAAAGUUCACCGGACAGCGAAUCCCCUGAACAGAGACUCGUUCGCUUAACUUUUGAGCACCCUCAAUAUCCGAUAGACUACUCAUUUCCAUCACACGAGGAGGAUUGGUUAGUCACCAAAAGGAGUAAAAAAUCUAAUUUCAUUCAAUCAAAGGACAUGGUUGCAAUCGAUUGUGAAAUGGUCCUUUGCCAAGAUGGCACUGAAGCUUUAGUCAGAAUCUGUGCCGUGGACCGUAAUUUAGAGGUUAAACUCAAUGAAUUUGUGAAUCCCAACAAACCAGUUGUAGAUUACAGAACUGACAUUACUGGUAUAACUGCUGGAGAUUUAGAAGGAGUUUCUUGUUCAUUGGCUAAUGUACAGACAUCCCUGAAGAAGCUAUUAUCACAUGGAACCAUAUUGGUUGGUCAUAGUUUACACAAUGAUCUUCGUGCUUUGAAGAUGGAUCAUGCAAGAGUGAUUGACACAUCAUAUGUAUUCAAAUAUCAGGGUCAAGCUUUUAGUAGAAGACCUUCUUUAAGCAACUUGUGUAAGUCUGUUUUAGGGUUUGACCUUCGAAA
rnacentral:misc_RNA from 1 species